GCUUGUCUCAAAGAUUAAGCCAUGCAUGUCUAAGUAUAAGUAUUAUACAGCGAAACUGCGAAUGGCUCAUUAAAACAGUUAUAGUUUACAUGAUAAUCGAAUUUACAUGGAUAACCGUGGUAAUUCUAGAGCUAAUACAUGCUGGCGUGCCCGACUUUUGUGGAAGGGCGGUAUUUAUUAGAUAACAAAUCAAUAUUCCCCGUGUCUAUUGUGAUGACUCAUAGUAACUGAUCGAAUCGCAUGGUCCUUGACCGCGAUACAUCAUUCAAGUUUCUGCCCCAUCAGCUUUCGAUGGUAGUGUAUUGGACUACCAUGGCUUUAACGGGUAACGGAGGAUUAGGGUUCGAUUCCGGAGAGGGAGCCUGAGAAACGGCUACCACAUCUAAGGAAGGCAGCAGG
rnacentral:rRNA from 1 species